GGCUUCUGGGGUGGGGGAAUCCAGGCUGUUGGGCAGGCUGGAGUGUUGUCUAGGCAGCAGCUGGGACCUCCCCCUCCUUCCUUCCCAGGAGGAAACCGGCUUCCACUUCUGCAGGGGCUCCCUCAUCUGGGAGUGCUGGGUGGUCACCACCCCCCACUGUGAGGUCAGGUGAGCAAGGUUGGGCUGUGCUCCAAGCUUCAGGGUAGGGGUGAGGGUUGGAGAGGGUGAGCUCAUCUGUCCCCAGCCUCUCCCAUCUCUGUUCCUAAAAAAACAGACAUGGUGGUGGGUGGGAUGUUUGACCAGCGAUCUGAUGAGGAAAGCAUCUAAGUCCUGAGGAUCACAGAGGUACCAGGCUUGAGGACAGGAGCUUGAGGACAGAAACUUGGCCCCUGUAGAUAGAUAUGGGGAUGGGCUACUCCUGAGUCCUCAUCAGGGUUGUGGUUGUCACCCUGAGUUUUUCAAGAACCCCAAGUUCAGUCUGCAAGGACAUCACCCUGCUGAAGUUGGCCGCGCCUGCCCAGCUCUCCAAGACCGUGUCUGCCUCGUGCUUUCCCAGUGCCAGUAACAACUUCUCUGCUGGGUCCUGUGUGUCACCAUUGGCUGAGGCAAAACCAAGUACACUGGGAAGCUCUGGUCCUUACCUUGAGCAUCACUUCCUGGCUCCAGUGCAGAUCCCUCAGCCUGCUGGCACAGAUCCUUCAUCCCGCUGGCGCAGACUUUCUAGCUUCCGUCACUGACCUGGGACUGUCCCAGUGCAGAUCCCUGAAAUAGACUUGCAUGAGUCAUUGUGCUGGGCUCUAGAUUUCCAGCCGGACUCAUGGAAGACAUUGCCAUGGGCUCUGGGUCUUCAGCUGGACUUGUGCAGGACAUCGCCGUGGGAUCCAGGCCCUCAGCUGGAUUCUUUGUGUUUCGAGGGUGUGGAUAGAUCCUUUGCACUCUUUUGUUUUUGACUCUGGGAGGCCACAGGAGCUGGCAGAGGACGCCCAACAGCUGUCACCUGCUGGCUAUCGAGCUGCUUCCUGGAUCCCACUCAAAAUCUUGGAAAACCCAAAGACACAGAGAGCGGCACCUAUCCCUCCGUGCAAUGCCAACACUCUUGGGCUGCUGGCUGGGGGCUCCCCUAAGAAGGAGGCUCCAGGAAAGGGGUGGCUCAGUUGCCAGCAGGUGCUCUGUAACUUAAUGUCCACUCUGUGACUCAAGCUCAGCAGCAUGAGGUGCAUGCUGUGAUCUCCACAUUUCAGCUGAAGGACUCAAGGCGUGGAGAGUGUUUACGACCUGUGUUCCAGGAAAGCAGAGGUCUAAAGUGACUCCUGCACUGCAAGAGCUGCUAUCUGAUCCUAUGCUGAAACUCAAGAACUAGGAAGGAGAUUGACAUGUCACAUGUCACAUGGGCUGUCUAGGAAGGCCACGUCCUCACUGGGUGAUUUCCAAGAAGGAACCCUGCAUGCUGCCUGCAGGCCGACUGCCUGGGAGUCCAAGGCUAGGAAGACUGGGCUGGGGGCCACUGUGGUCAUGAUGUCUACCUUUCCGGGGGACUUUAUCUUCCCAGUGCUCUUAGGUUUAUUGUCUCUGUCUUCAUUGAAGUGAAGGAGCUCCGAGACACCAAUACACAGUCAGCAAGGGUGAGGGCUGAGUAUAGGGCUGGGGCUGGGAAUGUAGCUCUGUGGUCAGGCACUUACAUAGGAUAUGUGAGGCCCUGUGCUCGAUGAGCCCCAAUUCUACAAAACAAAUGAACAAACCGAGAGCCAGAGUUUUGCCCCCUCUCUGGGCUCUCUGCCAUCUUUGUAAGGUGAAAUCUUCCAUCCUAAAAAUUCUAGCUCCUUUCUCUAUAAA